GUAACUGCUUGUGAAAUUCUCGUCCGCUCUUUUUCUGCUUUUAUUUGUUUCACGACGGGAGUGAAAAUUUCGCAAUUUGGAACAGUGACAGACUAUGAAAAGAUUGGAUACAGGGACCGACAUGCUAGUUAGAUGGGUCCUUGAUAAUUCACUGAACACAGAGCUGCAGAUGUGACUUGGCACGGUGAUCUCAAAGUGGGAGCGGUAUGGAAUUGUUGAAACAAUUCACUGAAUACAGUCAGAGCUGCAGAUGUGACUUGGCAUGGUGACAUCAAAUUAGUUCAGAUGGCUUGUGAACAAGUCAAAAGUCCAGAUCAAGGAUCUUCGCUGCUUCAACCACUAUCGCUCGGAUGACAUACGUGUGAAGAAAAUUGAAGAACUUUUGUUGAAGAGCAUGCUUUAGAAACUAGAAUCAAUCAUAUUGAUCGUUGUGGCAAUGCUUCAAUAUUUCAAUACCUCAAUCUUUCUUUUAUACUGUUUAAUUGUAAACAUUUCGAAUAUCAUAUAGAAAACUCCACUCAUAAUUUUAAUUGUGUGUAGAAUUAAGUAAUUAUCGCAAUGAAAUGGAUUGAUUAUAAAAUCGAGGAAUUGAUUUAAAGUGAACUGGUAACAUUGUCCAUGAUUUCUAAAACAAUGAA